rnacentral:tRNA from 1 species
UGAGGUGGGGCUCAGUGGGAGAGCACUGGCCUAGCAUGCAUGAGGCCCUGGGUUCCAACCCCAGCACCACCA